AGCAGCCGCGGUAAUUCCAGCUCCAAUAGCGUAUAUUAAAGUUGUUGCAGUUAAAAGCUCGUAGUUGAACUUCAGGCCUGGCUGGACGGUCCGCCUUCCGGGUGAGUACUGCCUGUGGUCGGGUCCUACCUUCUGGCGAAGCGUCAUGGCCUUAACCGGCCGUGGCGGGGAACCAGGACUUUUACUGUGAAAAAUUAGAGUGUUCAAAUGCAGGCAGUCGCUUGGAUACAUUAGCAUGGAAUAAUGGAAUAGGACAGUGGUUCUAUUUGUUGGUUUCUAGGACCGUUGUAAUGAUUAAUAGGGAUAGUUGGGGGCAUUAGUAUUCAAUUGUCAGAGGUGAAAUUCUUGGAUUUAUUGAAGACUAACUACUGCGAAAGCAUUUGCCAAGGAUGUUUUCAUUAAUCAAGAACGAAUGUUAGGGGAUCGAAGACGAUCAGAUACCGUCGUAGUCUUAACCAUAAACUAUGCCGACUAGGAAUCGGGCGAUGUUGACAAAAUGACGCG
rnacentral:rRNA from 1 species